rnacentral:rRNA from 1 species
UACGAAGGGGGCUAGCGUUGCUCGGAAUUACUGGGCGUAAAGCGCACGUAGGCGGAUCUUUAAGUCAGGGGUGAAAUCCUGGAGCUCAACUCCAGAACUGCCUUUGAUACUGAGGACCUUGAGUUCGGGAGAGGUGAGUGGAACUGCGAGUGUAGAGGUGAAAUUCGUAGAUAUUCGCAAGAACACCAGUGGCGAAGGCGGCUCACUGGCCCGAUACUGACGCUGAGGUGCGAAAGCGUGGGGGAGCAAACAGG